UGUCGGAUGUGGCUCAGCAGAAAGGCCUCCCAAAGUCUGUGAGCACAGCGUCCUCAGCAAAACCCCCUCCUCCCACCACACCUUCCUCAACAAACCCCUCACACCAACUGGCUCUGGAGGACUGUGUCCAAUUGUGAGCUGCCUCGGACUCAGGUCACUGUCCUGAGUGCUGCUGCCACCACCUCCCUGAAGUGGCUCACAAGUCCUCAGCCUCCGCCGGAGCCCCAAGUGCCAGACUCCCCCUUCAGCCGCACAGCCCGGGCACUCGGACCAGGCUGCCACCUUCCCUGUGCUUGCCGGGGCCAGGUAGGACACGUCUCACAACAGAGCCUCUUCCCGGGGCGCCCUUCUGCAGUGAUUCCUGCCGUCCCGCACCCCACUGUGUUCUGCUCACACCAGGCAGGGGUGAGAGGCAGUGUGGCCCCUCUGGGAAGCUCCCAGGAGGGCAGGGCUGGGUGCUGCCCUGCAGAUACAGUACCUGCUGCACAGGGAAUGGACGCCUCCUGAAAGGUGGCCCCAGCCCAGGAAUGGCUGGGACACCCACUGCAGCCUUGCCCAGGGUCUGCUUCUGGAGAACACUUGCCCCUGUCUCCCCCAACCCCCACCACGCUCUGCAUCUCACAGCCACCUGGAAGGAGAUGUGGACCCCACUUGGGGAAGGAGCUGCUCAGAGCCCCCAGAGCCCCCCACUUCCUACCACACAGCCAUCCUGCUGCUGUGCGAUACAGAUGGACCAGGGCUUGUCCUGAAGAUCCCAGGAUACACAUUCCUCAGGGAUAGCUACUCUCCUCCCCUCCCUGUUACUAGACUGGUUUUCCAUGGACUCCUUUAAGCCUCCAAGUCUGGCCUCUGGUCAGAUUUCAAAGACAUGAUGGGGUCGUCUGUUAUAGACUGAGUAGAUCAUGUGGCACCAGGUGAGGGCUGCUCAGGCCUGCAUUAAGGAGGGGAGCCCAAACAAUGUACCUCCCCUUCCCCCCACCCACAAGGAAGCAGCUGCUGCUGGCUCCUAUCCAAGAGACUGGAAGAGAGUUCCUUAGAACAUCUGGGACCCAGCAGUUCCACUCCCAGGCCUAACUCUAAGAGGGCAAAGUCAAGCCUCCACUCAAAACCUUGUGUGUGCACACACUCCCAGCAGCAGGAUUCACAACAGUCACGAAGUGGAAGCAGAGCCAGCUGUCCAGUGGAGGAUGAACACACAGCCGGGAAAACAUGGGCCCUGCAACCGCAGCCACCUCAGGGACAAGUGCAGGAGCGAUGCAUGCUGUGUGAGAAGCUGGGCGCCAGGCGGAAAGCAGAGUCCGGGAGCGGGGGGAGGAGGGGACAGCAAGUGUCUACUGAUGGCCCUGAGGUUUAAGGUGAUGGAGCCGGUCUAGAUAGAAUUGGGGGUGAUGGUUGUGCAACUGGGAAUACACUAAAAUCCCUGACUUGUACACUGGCCACCUGAAGUGAACAGUACAUGCUUUCUCUCUCAGUAAAGCUAAAGCUACGCAAAGAACAGCAGACAUCCCGCAUGAAGUCAGCUCUCCAGGGCCGCACUGUGGGAGCUAUGGGCUGGCAGUGUCCUGCUCUGCUCUUGCCGCGCAGGAGGGAUGCACACUCAGGGCCCCAGUGGGGUCACGGCCUUGCCAGGAGAACUCCCUCCGGGGAUGGCAGCCUGCCAUCGCCUGGCCUAGCCUGGAUGCCACAUCCUGCGGCAGAGAAGCAGCCUCCUGCUUGACUGUGUGGCCUGGGGACCCUUUGUCUCCCCGGUCAGUUUCAUCCUUGCCCCAGGCUGUGCCGCUGAUGAAGCAACAUCGUAGCUGAUGGUGAAGGGCCCGAUCCCAGCACGGAGGCUGGUCUUCCCUGGGUGCCUGCUUGAGCACGUGGCCCAAAACAGCCGUUGCAUGGGGCACUCGGAACCCAUCACACCCUUGCCCCUUCCCAACCUUCCGCCCCUUGGCAGAGGCCCCUCCUCCUCCUGGUCCAGUCCUGCCCACACCUGGGUGCCCACCUCCCCUCCCUGUGGUGUCCAGGUGCUGCCCCCCACAUGCCCUGGGCAGCACUGCUCAUCGUGGCCCCGUCUGUGGCCUGGACAGGCUCUGGCCACUCCUGCGUUGGCGCAGUUUCCUCGGGAGGCCCCUACCAACACCACUCGGCACGGCGGGCUCAGCACAGCAGUGGCAGCGGGUGGGAGUACUCGCCUCUGCCCGGCCCCGGCUGGCGGUUUUCCAUUUGGAUUUGGGGAUGAGCAGCCAAUGAGCCUAUCUCAUUCCCGUUAACGUGAGAGAAACAUCCAGACGCUAUCCUCAGGUCUCACACACCCCUGCCGGGCUCUGCACUGCACCUGGCAGGGGCACCCCUGGCUACAUCCUAGGCAUCAGCUCCCAGGCCCGAGCGCCUCUCCUCACACUGGGGAGUGGAGCCCUCAGGACCUAGAGACACUGGCUUGAGAAACUUUUGAGAUGCAGUCUCGCUCUGUUGCCGAGGCUGGAGUGCAGUGGUGUGAUCUCAGUUUACAGCAGCCUCUGCCUCCUGCGGGUUCAGGAGAUUCUCGUGCCUCAGCCUCCUGAGUAGCUGGGAUUACAGGCACGUGCCACCA
rnacentral:lncRNA from 1 species